rnacentral:rRNA from 1 species
AUUGAACGCUGGCGGCAGGCCUAACACAUGCAAGUCGAGCGAGUGGCGGACGGGUGAGUAAUGUUUGGGACUCUCGCUUAUGGAGGGGGAUAACUACGGGAAACUGUAGCUAUUACCGCGUACCAUAGGAUGAGCCCAAGGGGGAUUCGGUAGUUGGUGAGGUAAAGGCUAACCAAGGCGACGAUCCCUAGCUGGUCUGAGAGGGUGACCGGCCACACUGGAACUGAGACACGGUCCAGACGCCUACGGGAGGCAGCAGUGGGGAAUAUUGCGCAAUGGGGGCAACCUGACGCAGCCAUGCCGCGUGAAUGAAGAAGGCCUUCGGGUUGUAAAGUUCUUUCGGUAGCGAGGCGUUAACUACAGAAGAAGCACCGGCUAACUCCGUGCCAGCCGCCGCGGUAAUUC